rnacentral:lncRNA from 1 species
GGUCAAUUGACUAUUUUGGUCAUGAAAACUUAUUUGUAGAUCUUGUUUUGCUGAACAUUAUUGCUAUUUACAGUUUAUCUCUAUCUAUAAUAAUAUUCAAGAUAAUAACAAAAAACGGCAAAAUUUCCUUAAAAUUACCAACUCAGGGCAGUAACCUAACAACAGGUUAUCCGAUCCAUGUGAAAAUAUCAGGGCAAAUAGAUC